CGCUCUGGUGGCCUAGUGGUUAGAGCAUCCACCUCGGAUGUGGGAGGUCACAGAUUCAAUCCCUGGCCGAGUCA